rnacentral:sRNA from 1 species
UUAAAGGUUCUCUCCUUUAAUCCUGUAAGGAUAGCCAGCCACGACUGCUAUUCAGAGAACAGAAGAGAUUAAGGAAUUGGCCUGUGACUGAUCAGUGUUGCCAGUCUCCGUGACAUGCUGGUAGCACACAGCUCUGGGACAAAGCUUGACUCACACCAUUUGCUGGUUUCCUUAGUGCCAACUUGUCACCAACACCAUGGACUCACUGAAGAGAAUGCUCACCUUUGGCUGCAGUCCCUGGCACAACCCUGCCUCUACAGUGGCACCCUCUCUCAGUGGCACCAGUCUGCCUUUGUCCUGCUUAAGAAUACUUGUGGCCUGUUGAACCCUCUCAGAUGAGCCGUGAAGCGAGUCUGAGAAAUGACGUCAUCUGCCCAUCCUUCCCUGUGCCGCUGGUCUAUAAAGUGCUUUACAAGCUGGCGAUUAUCCAGAACCACACCCUUCUAAAGUGGGACUAACAGCGACAGCACUGGCAGCCAGCACCAGCACUGUGGGGGCGGCACACCCCGGGCUUUAGAGUAUGGUUUCUCUUCCUAGCCGGAGUUUCAGCUUCUGGUUUCUGUGCUGUCCUCACAAUUUCCUAGCACUGGGCCAAAGGGCACUUUGCAGUCCACGUCUGCAUAUACCUUUCAGACUUGUCAUCUGAAACUUCCAGAACAAAGUGCCUUUGAGGUGUUCUUCAGAGGUCAAAGACCAAUCAGCCAGCUCAGCACCAGACUGUGGAAGUCCAGCCCCCAGGGAGAGCUCUGGCUUUAAGAAGUUUCUUGUCUACUUCUGUUUGUCCUCCCAUCUUCUUUUAUUCUGUCAGUCCUCUUCAUGUGCUUAGUCUGUUGACAAGUGCACACAUGCAUGCAAUGCACUGACAAGUACACCCAUGCAUACAAUACAUUGACAAUUGCAUACAUGCAUAAAUGUAUCUUGAUGAUCCGUGCCCCACUCUGGACGCACUCCCCCCAGCCUCUUCAUC